GACGAACGCUGGCGGCGUGCUUAACACAUGCAAGUCGAACGGAAAGGCCCUGCUUUUGUGGGGUGCUCGAGUGGCGAACGGGUGAGUAACACGUGAGUAACCUGCCCUUGACUUUGGGAUAACUUCAGGAAACUGGGGCUAAUACCGGAUAGGAGCUCCUGCUGCAUGGUGGGGGUUGGAAAGUUUCGGCGGGUGGGGAUGGACUCGCGGCUUAUCAGCUUGUUGGUGGGGUAGUGGCUUACCAAGGCUUUGGCGGGUAGCCGGCCUGAGAGGGUGACCGGCCACAUUGGGACUGAGAUACGGCCCAGACUCCUACGGGAGGCAGCAGUGGGGAAUAUUGCACAAUGGGCGGAAGCCUGAUGCAGCAACGCCGCGUGCGGGAUGACGGCCUUCGGGUUGUAAACCGCUUUCGCCUGUGACGAAGAGUGAGUGACGGUAAUGGGUAAAGAAGCACCGGCUAACUACGUG
rnacentral:rRNA from 1 species